CCUACGGGUGGCAGCAGUGAGGAAUAUUGGUCAAUGGUCGGGAGACUGAACCAGCCAAGCCGCGGGAGGGAUGAAGGUACAGAGUAUCGUAAACCUCUUUUGUCAGGGAACAAAGGCGGGGACGUGUCCCCGGAUGAGUGUACCUGAAGAAAAAGCAUCGGCUAACUCCGUGCCAGCAGCCGCGGUAAUACGGAGGAUGCGAGCGUUAUCCGGAUUUAUUGGGUUUAAGGGGUGCGCCGGCGGUCUGUUAAGUCAGCGGUCAAAGCCCGGGGCUACCCCCCGGCCCGCCGUUGAAACUGGCAGGCUCGAGUUGGAGAGAAGUAUGCGGAAUGCGCGGGGUAGCGGUGAAAUGCAUAGAUAUCGCGCAGAACUCUGAUUGCGAAGGCAGCAUGCCGGCUCCACACUGACGCUGAGGCACGAAAGCGUGGGUAUCGAACAGGAGUAGAUACCCGGGUAGUC
rnacentral:rRNA from 1 species